rnacentral:rRNA from 1 species
CGGUAAUACGUAGGGUGCGAGCGUUAAUCGGAAUUACUGGGCGUAAAGCGUGCGCAGGCGGUUAUGUAAGACAGUUGUGAAAUCCCCGGGCUCAACCUGGGAAUUGCAUCUGUGACUGCAUAGCUAGAGUACGGUAGAGGGGGAUGGAAUUCCGCGUGUAGCAGUGAAAUGCGUAGAUAUGCGGAGGAACACCGAUGGCGAAGGCAAUCCCCUGGACCUGUACUGACGCUCAUGCACGAAAGCGUGGGGAGCAAACAGGAUUAGAUACCCUGGUAGUCCACGCCCUAAACGAUGUCAACUGGUUGUUGGGUGCAUUAGUACUCAGUAACGAAGCUAACGCGUGAAGUUGACCGCCUGGGGAGUACGGCCGCAAGGUUGAA